CCGGGACCCGGACCCGGCCGCGGACCCCCCCCCCCCCGGCCGCUCGCCCGCAGCCCCUCUCCGUGCGCGGCGCGGGGGAGGUGACCAGCUGAGUUUCUGAAGCAAGUGAUGGGAUUACAGUCAUCGCCAUAACGCAGAGCAACAAGCAUUACAAGUGCGUUUAAGGAAUACCCUGGCAGCUCGUUCGACCUGGAAAAGCCAGCUUCGGCCCACCCGACUCCUGCAACGACUCUGCCACAGGACCAAGAAACUGAACGUGAGAAGAUACUCAAGAGGCCCGAUGUAAACCAGGAGGCGGCACAUGGGCACAGGCGCCGAGGAGGGAGGGCCGAGGCAGGCGAGGAUCCUCUGCCUCAUUCAGCACAUAGGAAGGACCUGCUCAGAAGAGGGGCCAUCACCAGCAAGGCUUUUGUCCACAGAAUUUCUUGUGCAAUUUGCUGAGGAAGUUGGGAGUUGUAUAUAAAACCAGAAGACAAUGGAGUGGUGGUAGUGAAACCUAGCUCCCUUUUUUAAAAGAAAUCUAAAUAAGGAAUACAAAACACUCUGGAGAUUUUAUGCUGGUACCUCCACUUCCCAGACACCACACAGUAACUCUGUAGUUUUUUCAGAUGCCCAGUCAGGGUGCAUAUUUCCCACUUUCUGGGUGAGUGGCAAUGCAGCAGAUAUGGAUCUUUUGUUCACUUGGGCAUUUUUUUUUCUGUAUUAAUAGUAUAAUUAAUUAUUCACCAAUGGAAUUUAAAUAGCACUGACCCAAUCUCUCCAUUCUCUUCAGCAGACUUUGUUCCUUGUUGCCGAGUUAGGAAUUUGGGGACCAACAACAGCCAUCAUCUCAGCAUGUUUUCCUUCACAUUCAUUAGCUUGACUGAUUUUGAUUUGUACUGAAAAACAAACAAAAAAAGACUUUGUCCACUGUUUAGGAGCUGCUGUAGGCUCCUAAGAUGACACAUUUAACAACAAGGAAAUGAUCCAGAGAUCAUCUUUCUAGACAGGAGUUCAACAGACAUACAAGCCUCAAGAAGGAGCAAAUGCUCUACUGUCACCCCUUAGGAAAAAAGGCAUUUCAAUACUGCUGUUUUAAGAUUAAUUUCAUACCAGGCACUAGGAAGAGGAAAAAAUCCAAAGAUGACCACAGUCUUGUUUUCAGCAAACAGAUCUCCUUUCCCUUUUCCUGCUGUCUCUUCCUCCUCCUCCAGGAAAAGAAAAGAACAACAGCUGGUACCUUCCUCAAGCAAGAGUUUAAUGUUUAUGAAAACAUUGAGAGUCAAAGUGAAAAGCAUGCAAGAUACAAAAAUAAGAACAGCCUGAAGUUGCUCCCCUCCAGCCUACUAGAAACUUUUAUAAUUGGACUUGGUUAUAGAAUAGCUGCUUGCUGAGACACAACUGGAAGUCAUGAGUCAUCUCCUACUCCCACCUCUAACAGAGCUCUCCUCAGGGUAGUCUCUCAAAAUCAGCAUUUUGCUUCACCCCUCCACUCUCCCUACAGGCAGUUACCUGGUGGCGUCUUGCAGAACUACUGAAGAAACUAAGAUGACAAGACACCUAUAAUACAAACAAUAUUAAAUGUAAAAGCAGUAGAAACAGAUGGGAGGGUACACAUUAUGGUACUUAUUCUCUAAGGGGGGAGUUCAACUAUACUGCCUUCAAAAAGUCCCACCUGCUUUCACACACAUUUUAGGACUGCUAAAGCAGCCCCCUGCUGGGGGUGUGGGGGGCACGUUUUCCAGUUCCUAGCAAAACCACUCCUUCGCAAACAUCAGAGUUCCAAGUUCCCCGCAAACACACAAGCCUUAGGCCUUGAAACACAGGCUGAAGAUUUCUUAUAUGCUGAAUGGCCAAAAAAAAAACCACACACAUCCAUAGAAAACAGCAGAAGUCAGCUAAGAACACUGCAGUUAAACUUGGAGAGAUAAUGGAACUUCAUCGCUCAGUUUAAAUCAAGGACUUGUAAAACACCACAGAACAAGAAACAAAUACUACCUUUUGUUACCUUAUAAGCAUGUAAUAUGGUGCACUACUACUGGAAUGAUUUAACAUUGUUUUAUGCGGUUUAUUCCCAGAUAUCAACAGGCCUUUUUUUUUCAUAUUUUUUUCUGCAUAUACACAAGGGAGGGAAGGGAAAAAGCAAAUAAAGGAAAUACAAUGCUUUCCUUCUUAACCUUAUAUAUAUCAAGGUAAAAAAAAUUGGCAUUUCCUAUGUUAUAUGCACUUAGGAAUUGCCUCAUCUCAGGCACUGGGGACAUUACUUUGCUAACUCUUUCAGGGAAUUAUAGCAUGGCCUACAAAACUUAUUUAGCACCUUAUAUAGCUACACAUUCUAGAAGACUUACGAAGUAAAUACCAUCAAUAUGCAUAAUUUGUGCAAGUGACUCUACACACAGCAAUUAAACAGCUUAAUUUUUGAAAGCUGCUGAAAGCUAAUCCAUCCCCCACAACCAUGAUAGUGUAGAUGAAGCAGGAGUAAGCAGCUUAAGAUUAUUUUCCACACAAAUGAACUGCCACUACUGCAGCUAUCAGGCAGAGUACUGAUUCCGUGACAAACAUUAAAUACACAUUAAAUACAGUUUGUAUGUUUUUCUUAUUUAUUCAAAAGCUAGAGGAUGACAAAAAAAGGGUUAAAAUGCUUUAUGCCACCUAUUUAUUUUACAUGAACAAAUACUUAAUCUAUCAAAGAGACUCAUUUUACAAGUCCCCGUCCAAAAAACACACACAAAUUUGUUUUUAUACACAAAUGUUUAUUUCUCAAAUAAACAUCCCCUUUAAACACAAGGAAUGAAAUCUUCAUAAAGAUGAAUCCAAAAUGAAAUCCCUCCAGUACAUUGUAAUCACUGCUCUUGGUCACUACUGGCUUUAACUGUUAAACAUCAAAAAACAAGGACAUAUUUAAAAAAUCAUGCUACUGGAUUUCUAGCUCUGCCUCUGACCAACUCUAUACCGUUCUCCAAUAUUUUAAAAUUUUACAUCAUCAAAUAUGAAGCAAGUUUAAUUGCAGAACAGCUGUGCAUUAAACACAAACAACUGAACAAGAAGAUUAUAAGAUGUAGUCAAGUUCAUAACGAAUGUAGGUGUUCUUUUCAUCAUUAUAGAUUCUUGGAUAAUGUGCUAUCAGAGCGUCCUGUGAGCCAAUAUAGAUUGAAUUAUAAAUCUUCCAAUAUACAUCUCUGACUUUGCGGGCAGGGUGAAACAAACCCUAAAAAACAAAACAAUUCUAUUAUAAAUUUAGAGUUCCAAAUAUCUGUUACUGAGUUUAAUCUAGUUUUGCAUAAUACACAUUUUUUUUAAAAAAAGAAGCAAUUAAAAAAUUAACAUUACUUAAAGAAGGUACAUUGAAUGGGUCAUUCCCAAUUUUGUGACCAUCUAAGCUAGCAAGUAGUAAUGAACUGUUGUUAAAGACAAUUUUCUUAUUUUUUGUUGUGUAGAAUUCCACUAAAUGUAUUUCUUUUCUACUGUCCCUUUAAGAUAAAAAUUAAAAUCUGAUGCUGUA